rnacentral:sRNA from 1 species
GCCUGGUGUUGUGUUGGGCACCUGUAGUCCCAGCUACUGGGAGGCUAAGACUAGAGAAUCACUUAAGCCCAGGAGAUUGAGGUUGCUGUGAGCUGUGAUGCCAUGACACUCUACUGAGGGUGACAUAGUGAAACUUUGUCUCAAGGAAAAAAAAAUCCUGAUUUUAUUUAUUUACUUAGAGACUAAGUGUCACUUUUUCACCCUGGGUAGAGUGCCAUGGUGUCAUCAUAACUCACAGCAACCUCAAACUCUUGGGCUCAAGUAACCCUCCAGCC